rnacentral:lncRNA from 1 species
GAGCCACAUCAGUGGAGCCCGGAAAACAGAAUGACGAACAAUGCCUCACAAGGGGCCUGCAAUUCAACAACACUGAAUCAGGCCAGUUCCAGGAUCUCUAAAGCUGUAGACACCCUGACUAACCAACUGUCUUGUGAGGGAGGGAACAACCAAAGCUUUCCUGAAGAGAAGUUCAGCGUGCUGCAGCAAGACCUCAGACAGAUUAUGAAAUUGGCCUUAAAAGUCUUCCUUCAGUUGGGCACCAAUGAAUCAAAGUCUGAGGUCCUGGAUGUCUUUGGAGCUUUGAACAGUCUCAACAGUGAUAACGUCCAAAAUGUGCAGUUCAUCCACCUGUGGUUCAACGUCCAGCUGGUACCUCUUUUACCCCACAUUACCGGAGACUUCGUGACCCUGUUGAGCACAAGAGACUUCAGCUGCAGCUCCUAUCAGGCACUGGUCAUGGGAUUGAGUGGUGAACUGGAAUCCAUUAAUGAAGAGCAGAAACAAUUGAUCUACAAUCACUUUAUCCGUCUUUUCCUGUUCAGAAAGGGAUCAUCAGAUCCUGGAUGCUUGGGAAAUGUAAAUGAAAGUGCAGACUGGUUGUUGAAAAAUUUUGGAAACUUUUCGAGUAUUGCUGAUUUAAAGGAUCUGUACGAACUAAACCAGCAUUUCUCUGGGCUGGAGGUUUUGAACGUCCUUUCACCAAACCAAAAGGCAGAAUUGAUACUGGACCCAAGCACUGGCGCUCUGGAGAAUGAGACCCUUGUGAAGGAAGUUUUCAUCAGCUUGCUGGAAUCUCCAAGGGAAGAGCAGCUCAAUGAGUUCUUUGUGACUUUUGUUGAAGUCACCAAGCAGGAAAACAUCACUAUCAUCACAAACACAGCCGUAAGAGACACAAUGCUAAACCUGACCUUGAUGGCUCUUGCUCCCAAAUUUGACGUUUUUGAGCCAAAAGACUUCCAGCUGUGGUUCCAAGUCAAUCUGGUUGUUCUGCUGGCCAGUUU